AUACGGAGGAUCCGAGCGUUAUCCGGAUUUAUUGGGUUUAAAGGGUGCGCAGGCGGCCAUUUAAGUCAGCGGUUAAAUCGUGGGGCUCAACCCCAUUCUGCCGUUGAUACUGGGUGGCUUGAUUGCGGUCGAGGUUGGCGGAAUUCGUUGUGUAGCGGUGAAAUGCAUAGAUAUGACGAAGAGCACCGAUUGCGUAGGCAGCUGACCAGACCGCAAAUGACGCUCAUGCACGAAAGUGCGGGGAUCGAACAGGAUUAGAUACCCUGGUAGUCCGCACAGUAAACGAUGAAUACUUGUUUUCGGCGAUAUAAUGUCGGAGGCAAAGCGAAAGCGAUAAGUAUUCCACCUGGGGAGUACGCCGGCAACGGUGAAACUCAAAGGAAUUGACGGGG
rnacentral:rRNA from 1 species